rnacentral:rRNA from 1 species
CCCUUAGAGUUUGAUCCUGGCUCAGGACGAACGCUGGCGGCGUGCCUAAAACAUGCAAGUCGAACGGUGUAGCAAUACACAGUGGCGAACGGCGGAGUAAUACAUAAGCAACGUGCCCUGAAGACUGGGAUAGUCAGAGGAAACUCUGGGUAAUACCAGAUGUGGUCAUCAUCCGGCAUCGGGAGAUGAUUAAAUGGUUUUUCGCUUCAGGAGCGGCUUAUGGCCUAUCAGGUAGUUGGUGGGGUAAUGGCCUACCAAGCCGACGACGGGUAGCGGGUCUGAGAGGAUGAUCCGCUCGAGUGGGACUGAGACACGGCCCACACACCUACGGGUGGCAGCAGUUGGGAAUCUUGCACAAUGGGGGAAACCCUGAUGCAGCGACGCCGCGUGGAGGAUGAAGGAUCUAGGUCUGUAAACUCCUUUUUCAGGGAAAGACUUAGGACGGUACCCUGAGAAUAAGGACCGGCUAACUACGUGCCAGCAGCCGCGGUAAGACGUAGGGUCCAAGCGUUGUCCGGAUUUACUGGGCGUAAAGAGCGCGUAGGCGGUCUGUUAAGUGUGAAGUGAAAUCUCCAGGGCUCAACCCGGAAACUGCUUUACAUACUGGCAGACUGGAGUGAUGCAGAGGUUUGUGGAAUUCCUGGUGUAACGGUGAAAUGUGUUGAUA